CAAACAAGAUAACUGUGAAGCUGAAAACAAUUUCGUGUUGCUUCCUGUGAGAAAUUGUUUCCAAGAAGCAGUGUUAUCUUUUUACAUAACCUGGAUUUCCUCACAAAAUGUGUUGGGAAUUUUUUGCUAUAGGUGUACUUUCAGUCUCAGAGGUAGCAAAGUGCUGAACUCCUCUUUCCUCGCUCUCAAACAUAGGUAGGAUUCUGCAUGCCCACAGCUCGUAGCAGGAACAAGGCAUUGUUUCUUUAAAGUCUUCCAUCCAGACUUUGUGUGCAAGACCAUGCACACCCAUAGAGGCCUAUAAAGAACAGCACCUUUCACAUUAUUGUCUAGCUAAAAAUAGGCCAUACACUUACUAUAACAUGACAUUUACCAAGCUAUUUCCUCUGCAUGUCAGCAGAAUAAAAUAUACAUAAAUAAAAUAUCUUCCACACGCUGAAAAUAGCACUCUAUAAUCAUCCCAGUGCACAGGACGGAGUUAUUGUGCAAUGACAGCGCACCUUGUUGAGUGAUAGUGCAGAGCUUUUGCCCUGUGCCUAGCAACAUACCCAAGCAUGGGAUCAGAGUCUACACCCUGCCUUAUUGCUCAAGUAGGACCUGGCAAAUGUCCCUUGAUGUUGCCCUGGCCCAUAUCCACAUAUUUUACUAACAUAUGUAACUUCACAUUCAUCUUAAGGAUAGACAUGGUUACGUGUAUUCAAGGUCUGAGGCUGUUUGUAUCUUGAAUUUUCUUGCAGGAAUCAGAGCCAUUGGAGGAGAGAGGCUUUCCUGGCUAGUGCAGCACAGGUAGCAUUUAAUAGAAAGUCUUAACUGUUGAAACAAAUAAAUUAGGUUGAAUAUUACCAUCAAAGAGUUGCAAAGUAAGGAAGAAGUUACAAUAACCUCGGGAAUCUCCUUGAUAAAGUAUCUCACACAUUCUAUAUAUAAAGUUAUAUUUUAAAUGGAAAACAUAUUCAAAACAUACUAGUUUAACCUUUAGAAGAUACUGGGGUUUUUGUUUUACUUUAAGUUUAUUUUAAGUGUAUGCAAAUGAAAGGCAGUGAUUUGAAAGCAUUGUCAUCCCAAGACUAUAAUUAUUCAGUAUUAGGUUGUCACUCAAACUCCAGGGGAAGUAGGAUCACUGCGUUUCUUCUUGUCAUGGAAGCCACCAUCUUGUUUCAGUAAUACCUUAAAAUUUCUCCUGAAAGAAACUUAGAUUUUAAAAAAAUUGAAUAGGAUGCUUUUUCAGAGCCUACUUGUCGUGGGUAUCCGUCGAAAGGUCUCGGCUUGAAAGGGGGAAGAAGGACAGACGACACACACGAGGAUGGUGAGACAGAGAGAUGUCUGCCUGCUCAGAGCAGCAGGCAGCCUUUUAUUAGGUUCUCCUACUUCUACUUUUUCACACACAUAACACAAACAUAUUUCAACAAAAAUACUGAGGAAUGCGCACCUGCACUUCAGCCACACAGCUCAAGGCUGUGUCCAUGGGAACUAUCUAGUUAGCUUCACUGCUCCCAUGGAAAACGGCCCAACACCCCGCAACACUCCAAACUCCUCAAACUUCAGUUGUGGGGCUGUGACUUCCCCCCACAUUGUACUGUCCAACUCUCAGGGCCACUUCCAUGGGAAUAUGCAGCCACCUCCACCUUUCUCAGGGGAAUGGUCUUACUCCCCUCAAUGCCUCCAGCUCUUCCACUUCCAGGGGGCCCAGGGGUUCCAUGGGCCUGCCACCUCCCCCCACACCUACUCCUACAAGCCUGUAUGAACAGACUGAACUCACACCAGUACAAUCAUUACCUUUUAUAUGUUUGAAUGAAGGUUUCCCUUGCAAACAAGCACAUAGUGUUUCCUUAACAAAAGUAAACUCAUUAAACACUCUGGAGAUCUCAAGUGUCUCUGUGUUUAUAUUCCACAAGACCAUAAUUCUCAUGGAUAUAUCUUUACUUCAGCUUGUGGAAGAUGGAGCUUGUUUCUUCUACCCUUGUCUUAUCAAAGGGUUUUCAAGAGGUUGGUGAGGUACAGAGAAGGAAAUUGUAACUGCAUCCAAAAAGUUGGGACCAUAAAAAUGACCUUCCUCUAUUGCAAUUAAAUUGUUUGUCGCUUCAGACCAGAAAAAAAAAAAUUACAACCUUACACACACACCCAUUAGAGCUGUACAUGACCGCCAAAAAGCCUUUCCUAUUCUCAUUAGAGUACAACAUCCAGCGUUGUGGCCAAACCUUUCAAAGCAAGGUUUUCAAAUGCAAAUUGCACAAGUCACUGAGAAACCUGAUCCUCAGAAGCUCUAAGCACCUCUAACUGCCAUCAAAGCAUUCACAUUGCCACAUAUUAAAAUGAUAAGGCUUUGCAGCAUAGGAUUUUCCAGAAAAUCUAAGCAACAAUUUCAGAGUCAGCAUCAGUUGCACUAUUACCACCAGUGCACUACUAAUCAUGCUUCUUACACAGGAGUAGACUUAAUAUCCCUGCUUGAAAAUCUUCAGAAAAAGGAGUGAGAACAAGAAGACCAGCAUCUUAGGAGAUAUAACAGGCCCUGCAAAUAGCUGUGUCACUUUUGCUGUGUGCUAGAGACUGCACAGCUGGAAUACUGCCCUAGAAUUCACACACACACCUUCAGAGAGUAUGUUUGCUUAAGCGUCAGAGAGUUCAUCUGUCCUCAUGCCGAGUGCAUAAAUGCCAGUUCAGGGUGCAUUGACCUGGACUAUCGUAAUCUUCUAGAAAGAAAGUGUCGUGUGAUCCCUGGUUUUACAGACCCAUUGUACCAAAAAGAAGUGUAUUGCCCAUAGGCAACAUUCUCACACACAUUAGGAGUAUAAACAAGCCAUCUGAGGGCUGUCAUUUGCCCCUACAAGGAGAUGUUUGCCCUAUGUGUUCAAGCAAAGUCUAGAACCACUUUGUACAUCUUAUUAAUACAAGGAAUUUCACUCUAGUAAGGAAUGUUCCAUGUUCAUACAGUUUGUUGUUAUGAUAGCCCUAAUUCCAGUUCCAUCCUUUAGACAGAUGCAGAUUUAUCUGAGAUAGCUAUGUGCAGGUAAGCACAUAGUUGGCAUUACAGGUUUCUGCAUCGUGCUGUGAUGGUUUCGCAGUCUCCAUCUUCCUUCUUUAAGUUUGCAUCUGUGUCUUCUAGUAAAUAUUGAAUAUUUACAAUACCAGUCAUUUGUUAAGAAAAUAUUUGGCCACCUGAAUGAUAUAUUAGGUCUGGACCCAAAAUCUGUAGCUGAACAUAGAAGUUACUGCUAUUGUAAGUCAUCCCCAUGACUUACAGUGCUACUAUUCGCUUCUGUGCUAAUCCCACCAUGUGUAUUCAUUUGCAGUACUGUGGUUUUAAAUAGCAUCUUUGUCACAUAUUAAAGACAGCUAACUCUUUCAACCUACAUACUUACUUCAAUCUUAAAAGAAUAUAGUACUGUAAGGAAAAAAUUUACUCAAUACUAGACAUUCAAGACUUCCAGGACUGCUGCACGCUGCUGGAGUGCAGAAGUGGAUAAAGGGGUAAGUGUUGGUGUUUUUCCAUUUCAUUGUAAGCACAAACUCUUUCCUGAAGCAUGUUGCAGUUGUUUGUGCUCUGAAGAGAGCAAUAUUUUUAGCUUUACCACUUACAGUACUGGGAUGUAUUGCAAACUUUUUGAUUAAGCAUCAUAGGCUACAAGAAAAGCUUGGAGCUGUAAUGCCUCUAGCACAUUUUUAGGCAGUUACCAUGCCAACUGUAAAAAUUAUGAGUGGAAUGAAUACAAGAAGUCUUUUUGAAAAUAAAAUAAUGCACAGUUAUUGAAGAGCCCAAAGUUUUGGAACACUGUAUUAUAUUGUUGGAAGAUUUAUCAUGAUCCAUAUAUAAACCUACUGGUUUUAUCAGGAGCUGAUAAACUGUCACUAACAGUCUGCAGACCUGCAGAGGUUUCACUCAGAGACUAAAGCAUCUGUGUUAUCCUUUGCAGAGUUUGGAAUUACCAUAGAACUAUGAGCAAACCUUCAAGCAAAGAAUCACUCCAGACUUGAAAAGUGUAUGUGAGAUGCAUAUUAAGUAGUGCAUGGGAAUCAUAGAAUUCUAUUGUAAUUCCCAGAUAAGACCUCCAUGAUGCUGGAUGGAAGUUAGUAUGCACAGAGAAGCACAAAUGCAAGUUGUAAGAGGCACCGUGGGACAGGGACUCAGGAUUGCAGUCAGUUCAUCGUCUGCCACUCCUUCCUCCCCGGGGGAGGACUCCUUGAACUUUUCCCCUGCUCCAGCAUGGGGUCCUCCAUGAGCUGCAGGUCCAAAUCUCAAUCUAGAAACUGUUUCCUGGGUCUUCGCUGAAGAGCGGUUGAAAAGUCAAGAUCCCCUGAAUCAGCAGCAGUAGAAGGGUUCUUCAGUUAAUUUAGCCAACAUAAUUGCCUCAGCAAAGGUCAUGAAAAGUUUGCCUCUGGAACAUUACAAGAAAGCCAAAGCUAAAUAUAUUCAUCUGUGCAAAUACUAGUGAAUGAAAAAAACUUCACGAAGUAAUGACAUCUACCAGCAAUAAACGACAACUGGAGCAUUUGGCAUUAUCAAAAUAAAAGCAAAGAAGAAAAAAGGACUUACUUAUGCUCUAUAGAAAGAAAAUUUAGAAUUUAAUAUUAAUUAGUGUUGGUUUGCAGAGAAUAAUAUGGUGACAGCAAGCUAGAAAGGGAGAGAAACUGAAAGAAAGCAAUGCUUUUACACGGCUGUUCUGUAUUCCCGGUAUAUCCUUUCUUAACAUAAGUGUUAACAUUAAAUAGAAUGCAACAUGGUGCCAAAUGCUUCAGAGUUGAUAUGGACUGUGAGUAGGCUCUGUAUGUAAAUGUAUCAUUGCAAGGAUAUGUGAGAACAAACCACUCCGCCUACACAGAGAGGUGUAAAUAGAUGCAUAUACUCCACAUAGGACCUGCUGGCAGCAUGAUUUUUAUGUAUAAUCAUUAAAUGUUCUCAGUCCUAA